GACUACCGGGGUAUCUAAUCCUGUUUGCUCCCCAUGCUUUCGCACCUCAGUGUCAGUAUUAGGCCAGAUGGCUGCCUUCGCCAUCGGUAUUCCUCCAGAUCUCUACGCAUUUCACCGCUACACCUGGAAUUCUACCAUCCUCUCCCAUACUCUAGCUAACCAGUAUCGAAUGCAAUUCCCAAGUUAAGCUCGGGGAUUUCACAUUUGACUUAAUUAACCACCUACGCGCGCUUUACGCCCAGUAAAUCCGAUUAACGCUCGCACCCUCUGUAUUACCGCGGCUGCUGGCACAGAGUUAGCCGGUGCUUAUUCUGUGGGUAACGUCCACUUAGCCCAGGUAUUAACCAGGUAAGCCUCCUCCCCACUUAAAGUGCUUUACAACCAAAAGGCCUUCUUCACACACGCGGCAUGGCUGGAUCAGGGUUCCCCCCAUUGUCCAAUAUUCCCCACUGCAGCCGCCCGUAGG
rnacentral:rRNA from 1 species